UUUGAAAACAAGGAGUGAAGAUUGGUGAUGCACAUCGCGUUAAUGAUAAUUUUUAUUGAAAUUGAACAAAAUCUUGUAUUGAAAUCAUUUACUACAUCAGAAUACGUGAUGAAAAGAUUGCCUCGGAUAGUUCUGUUGAUUUUAAAAUCAAGACAAACUGAGUCAACUAAUCAAGAAAAAGAAAACCUCAUGAUGUGGGUUGAAUUGCCAGGGACACCUAUGCUAAGACUUCAGGUCUUUAUACAGCUCAGUGGCCGGGUCUUUCUUGGCGAAAUAUUUGCAAAGUACACACGAAGCCCUCGCUCGCUCCGUAAAAAGUUCUCUUUCUCGGUACUUUUCAUUCGAAAAUUGUAAACUUAGUAGAGGACUUGCGAUUUUGGAUGCGAAAAGCUGGAUUUGGCGACUACUGCGAGCUAUUUUAAGGUAAAUAUUUGAAGUUUUUCUUGCAUUUAGUCUUCCCGCCUUUUUAUUGUGUUAACUUGGCCUGCAAAAACAGACAAAUUUAUUGCAAGAUUCUUAUAGUUUGAUUCUAAAAUGUUUUUCAAAUAGUUGUUUCUAUAAUUUUUGAUGCUGGUCGAUUUAUUUUUUCUGUGGGGCUGUUGCCAAAAGAGUUUUUCAGUCGCAAAACUGACGGCGAAGUAUUUUUUUGUUUCUGAUCAGCAUGAAUACAUGAUAUCGCGAGCCUCCGAUAUUUACCUUAAAGUUCCUGGGAUAUUUUAAUAGUCUAUAACAAUUCGAAUUCGUAUCUUUAGAAGCAGUAGAAGGACAGAAGUCCACAAUGCCCGGUAGAGGGUAGAAGAAGCAAUGCCAAUGGGAAACUCAAACACAAAUUUCAAUACAAGAAAGCCCUAACUUAGCGAAACGAUGUUGAAAACAACCCCAAAAUAACUGUUCAAUUCUCAAUGGACGAAGCAACUUACCAUGAUGCAGUAAAUCUAGAUUGAAGACUCGUUUCGUGCAAUUGGCACAACAGGAAAUCUCCGAAAAUUUUACUACGAGGAAAAUUGUAAAAGAAGAAACGUGGAUCAGUAUUGCUUAUACAGCCAGGUCAUCAUCUUGGUAGAGUGAGUCUUAGCUUAGUAGAACUCUAGUAGAACUGAACAACCAGUGUCUUAAUGACUAUACCAUUAUGUUUUAGGCAUGCAUGGUACUCCACUUAAAAACAUUUUCUAAAUUUUUUGCAAAUUUGCAUGUGUGUUAAAGUGUAAAUAAAAAGUAUUAAAGAGCUAUACUAUAGAAGCAAUUCCUUUAAUGCGUAGUUGACUUGCUGUACUCAAACAGAAAUGUAAUUGAUCUCAUGUAUUCAAUAUUAUAAUAAUAUAAUAACGAUAUUUGUGCUGCAUUGUUUGUUGACUCGAUCGGUAUUAUAGGUAGAAAUCUUCGAUGGAACGGAAUAUUUCGCUCAAUUUAUU